UACAGCUUUUUGCAAAUUUCAUAGUUUUUAAUUACAAUAAAUUUUUUUACAAUUUUUUCUGUACUUCUUAAACACCGCCAGAGCACACCUUCAGAGGAAUGACGCCAUUUUUGAAUAUCCCUGUAGAAAACCGCAUUUUGGAACCCAUUACCAAGGUGGAAGUGGAACGUUGUUACCUGUUACAGAAAAAUAACCGUUUAUCACACCUCUAGUAGAUACUGCUCUGUCUCGAAUUUUCAAGUCCAAUAUUUCAAUGGUGUUGCACCUGAAAAUAAGAAAUAGUCAUCCAUCAUGUUGAAGAUUAGUCACAGGUGUAAGUCACACACGACUUACAGCUUAUACGAGUACAUCUGUAUGCGCCAAGUACGGACUCAGCAGUGAAGAAAUAGAAAAACAUUUUGAAGAUAUAUGACGGACCAGAAAGCAGGAAAAUGCUUAUUGCACUGUUAUUACAACUUUAUCGCAAAAGACUACUAGCGAAAUAUGGUUUAGUAACUUGUGUGUAAAUGUAAGUGCUCAGGAUGCAUCACGGUAGAUAUGUAUACUUAACAUACCCUGCACAGGAUUGGAUAGCACAAUCUAAGCUCUACUUUUAAUUUAAUAUCUUGGUUCAUUUCCCGAAAUUAUUUCUUGGCUUCAUACAACAGAGCAGAUUCUUAAAUCAGUCUCGGUGUGGAGCCGUAUUUUACCCACAAUCAUGGAACACCCUG